AACGAACGCUGGCGGCAGGCUUAACACAUGCAAGUCGAGCGCCCCGCAAGGGGAGCGGCAGACGGGUGAGUAACGCGUGGGAACGUACCCUUUGCUACGGAAUAGCUCCGGGAAACUGGAAUUAAUACCGUAUGUGCCCUACGGGGGAAAGAUUUAUCGGCAAAGGAUCGGCCCGCGUUGGAUUAGCUAGUUGGUGGGGUAAUGGCCUACCAAGGCGACGAUCCAUAGCUGGUCUGAGAGGAUGAUCAGCCACAUUGGGACUGAGACACGGCCCAGACUCCUACGGGAGGCAGCAGUGGGGAAUAUUGGACAAUGGGCGGAAGCCUGAUCCAGCAACGCCGCGUGAGGGAUGACGGCCUUCGGGUUGUAAACCUCUUUCGCCUAUGACGAAGCGAUCCCUUUUGGGUGAGUGACGGUAGUAGGUAAAGAAGCACCGGCCAACUACGUGCCAG
rnacentral:rRNA from 1 species